rnacentral:rRNA from 1 species
AUUGAACGCUGGCGGCAUGCCUUACACAUGCAAGUCGAACGGCAGCACGGGCUUCGGUCUGGUGGCGAGUGGCGAACGGGUGAGUAAUGUAUCGGAGCGUACCUUUCAGGGGGGGAUAACGUAGCGAAAGUUACGCUAAUACCGCAUAUUCUGUGAGCAGGAAAGCAGGGGAUCGCAAGACCUUGCGCUGAUUGAGCGGCCGAUAUCAGAUUAGCUAGUUGGUGAGGUAAAGGCUCACCAAGGCGACGAUCUGUAGCGGGUCUGAGAGGAUGAUCCGCCACACUGGAACUGAGACACGGUCCAGACUCCUACGGGAGGCAGCAGUGGGGAAUUUUGGACAAUGGGCGCAAGCCUGAUCCAGCCAUGCCGCGUGAGUGAAGAAGGCCUUCGGGUUGUAAAGCUCUUUCGGCCGGGAAGAAAUCGCAUGGGUUAAUACCCUGUGCGGAUGACGGUACCGGCAUAAGAAGCACCGGCUAACUACGUGCCAGCCGCCGCCGUAAAAC